rnacentral:rRNA from 1 species
AUUGAACGCUGGCGGCAGGCCUAACACAUGCAAGUCGAACGAGUGGCGGACGGGUAAGUCAUGUCUGGGAAACUGCCUGAUGGAGGGGGAUAACUACUGGAAACGGUAGCUCAUACCGCAUACCAUCUAAUGAGCCAAGAUGGGAUUAGCUAGUGGUUGGGGUAACGUCUCACCUAGGCGACGAUCCCUAGCUGGUCUGAGAGGAUGACCAGCCACACGGUAACUUAGACACGGUCCAGACGCCUACGGUAGGCAGCAGUGGGGAAUAUUGCACAAUGGGCGCAAGCCUGAGGCAGCCAUGCCGCGUGUAUGAAGAAGGCCUUAGGGUUGUAAAGUACUUUCAGCGGGGAGGCGUUACCCGCAGAAGAAGCACCGGCUAACUCCGUGCCAGCAGCCGCGGUAAUUC